rnacentral:rRNA from 1 species
AUUGAACGCUGGCGGAAUGCUUUACACAUGCAAGUCGAACGGCAGCACGGACUUCGGUCUGGUGGCGAGUGGCGAACGGGUGAGUAAUGUAUCGGAACGUGCCCAGUCGUGGGGGAUAACGUAGUGAAAAUUACGCUAAUACCGCAUACGAUCUAUGGAUGAAAGCGGGGGAUCGCAAGACCUCGCGCGAUUGGAGGGGCCGAUAUCAGAUUAGGUAGUUGGUGGGGUAAAGGCCCACCAAACCAACGAUCUGUAGCUGGUCUGAGAGGACGACCAGCCACACUGGAACUGAGACACGGUCCAGACUCCUACGGGAGGCAGCAGUGGGGAAUUUUGGACAAUGGGCGAAAGCCUGAUCCAGCCAUUCCGCGUGCAGGAUGAAGGCCCUCGGGUUGUAAACUGCUUUUGUACAGAACGAAAAGGUUUCUACUAAUACUAGGAGCUCAUGACGGUACUGUAAGAAUAAGCACCGGCUAACUACGUGCCAGCAGCCGCGGUAA